CCAAACGCCCCAAACCUCUGUGGGGCGCGCGACGGGAGGGUCGUGGAACUUUCGCCUCCCGAAGCACAAGCACUCCGGGGCUGGCCUCGAAAGAAGAGUGGGGCUGGGAGCUACCAGGUGUCAGCAUCCUCGCCCUUCCCGGAGGUCCUGGAAGCCCACUCUUUCUCCCAGGAUCCCGCCUCGGACUCAGGUGGGCGAGCCCUUUCUUUCUCCAAGUCGGUUCUCUGUUCAAGAGUUCCGCGCCGUGGGAAGGGGCG